UCCGAUAUGGUGUAACGGCUAACAUUGCCGUCUUUCAUUGAUGCGACUGUUAUUGUUAUCAACGCGGCAGCUCGGGGUUCGAUUCCCCGUAUCGGAA